CUCCUUACGUGGAGUUUUAAGUUUCCGUUUCCGCCCACGCGGUCUCUCAGGCUGGUACAAGCGGUUAGUAGGCUAACAAGGUAGCACAGUGGACGGAGCCCCAGACCUGAAGUCUGGAGGCACCUAGGACCAUCCAAGGCUAAUUUGAACCCAGGUCCUCCAAAAUCCAGGUCUGGUGCUCUUUUCACUAUGCUACCUAGUUACCCUCCUAACCGCUCCUACCAGCCUGAGAGACCGCAUGGGCGGAAACGGAAACUUAAAACUCCCUUCACGUAAGGAGACGCACAAACAGGAAAUGGAAAAGGGGAUUGUGGGAAAUGUAGUCUCUAGGGUUCAAGAUUCUAAAUCAAUACGUUCAAAUGCCUGACAUUCAAGGUCUUCCACAACCUGGCCUUGGUCUGCCUUUCUAGGCUCAUCUUCUACUAUGUUCCCUCAUGUAUUGUUUGCUCUAUUCAGAUGGGGAAAGUGUUUCUUCCCUUGAAUAUAUAUUGUGUUCUCACGCUGCUAUGUUUUUAGCCAUUCCUGCAUUUCUUGCCCUUCUUAUCCUUUUCUUGACUGUUGAAUCCUAGCCUUCCAUAAAAGCCCAUCACAAAAGCUGCCUCCAGGGGGCAGCUAGGUGGCUCAGUGGAUUGAGAGCUAGGCCUAGAGAUGGGAGGACCUGAGGUCACAUGUGAUCUCAGACACUUCUAGCUGUAUGACUCUGGGCAAGUCACUUGACCCCCAUUGCCUAGCCUUCACCACUCGUCUGCCUUGGAACCAAUAUAUAGUAUAAGUUUAACAAGGGAAAGACCUUACUUCUUGUUCCGAAAGCCAAAAUAUGCACCUCAUGAUGUAAUCAUCACAGUCUCUCCUCAUCAUCUCCUAGAGAUUUCUCAAUGGACAAUAGCCACCCAGGAAAUGAACUCAAAAGACUUCCUCCCAGGAAUUAGCCAGUAUUCUGGUCACUCUGAUAGUUGGCUGUGGCUUCAACAUGGCAUCUGUCUAGCUGCUUGAAAGAAAGUCAAGCAUUCACUAAGGAAGAGAGAAGGGAAUAGUCUCUAUCAACAAUUCUGCCCCACACCCAUCUGCCCAGUACAAUGACAGCAGCAGCAGUAGUAGUAG
rnacentral:lncRNA from 1 species